AUGCGAUAAGUAGUGUGAAUUGCAGAAUUCAGUGAAUCAUCGAAUCUUUGAACGCACAUUGCGCCCUUUGGUAUUCCUUAGGGCAUGCCUGUUCGAGCGUCAUUUAAACCUUCAAGCCCUGCUUGGUGUUGGGUGCCUGUCCCGCCCCCCGCGCGUGGACUCACCUCAAAUCCAUUGGCGGCCCCCGCAUGGCCACGAGCGCAGCAGAAACGCAAACUCGUGUGCCGGACCGGGCGGCUCCCAGAAGCUACACUCACCAUUUUGACCUCGGAUCAGGUAGGGAUACCCGCUGAACUUAA
rnacentral:misc_RNA from 1 species